CAAAAGAUAGUUUAUUGAAAAUAUUAACAUUGGAAGUUAGAGAUUAAAUAUAAGGUUAUUUAUCUUUUGA
rnacentral:tRNA from 1 species